rnacentral:rRNA from 1 species
UGGGGAAUUUUGGACAAUGGGCGAAAGCCUGAUCCAGCAAUGCCGCGUGUGUGAAGAAGGCCUUCGGGUUGUAAAGCACUUUUGUCCGGAAGGAAAUCCUUGGCUCUAAUACAGUCGGGGGAUGACGGUACCGGAAGAAUAAGCACCGGCUAACUACGUGCCAGCAGCCGCGGUAAUACGUAGGGUGCAAGCGUUAAUCGGAAUUACUGGGCGUAAAGCGUGCGCAGGCGGUUUGCUAAGACCGAUGUGAAAUCCCCGGGCUCAACCUGGGAACUGCAUUGGUGACUGGCAGGCUAGAGUAUGGCAGAGGGGGGUAGAAUUCCACGUGUAGCAGUGAAAUGCGUAGAGAUGUGGAGGAAUACCGAUGGCGAAGGCAGCCCCCUGGGCCAAUACUGACGCUCAUGCACGAAAGCGUGGGGAGCAAACAGGAUUAGAUACCCUGGUAGUCCACGCCCUAAACGAUGUCAACUAGUUGUUGGGGAUUCAUUUCCUUAGUAACGUAGCUAACGCGUGAAGUUGACCGCCUGGGGAGUACGGUCGCAAGAUUAAAACUC